UACGAACCGUCCAAACGUUAUUCGGAUUUACUGGGCUUAAAGGGUGCGUAGGCGGCGCGGAAAGUUGGGUGUGAAAUUCCUCGGCUUAACCGAGGAACAGCGCCCAAAACUACCGUGCUCGAGGGAGAUAGAGGUGAGCGGAACUUAGGGUGGAGCGGUGAAAUGCGUUGAUAUCCUAAGGAACACCGGUGGCGAAAGCGGCUCACUGGAUCUCUUCUGACGCUGAGGCACGAAAGCUAGGGGAGCGAACGGG
rnacentral:rRNA from 1 species